rnacentral:rRNA from 1 species
AUCCACACGACUCUCGGCAACGGAUAUCUCGGCUCUCGCAUCGAUGAAGAACGUAGCGAAAUGCGAUACCUGGUGUGAAUUGCAGAAUCCCGCGAACCAUCGAGUCUUUGAACGCAAGUUGCGCCCGAGGCCAUCUGGCCGAGGGCACGCCUGCCUGGGCGUC